CUCCCAGGGCAUAUGGAGGUUCCCAAGCUACGGGUCGAAUCAGAGCUGUAGCCACCGGCCUACACCAGAGCCGCAGCAACACAGCAUCCAAGCCCGAGUCUGCGACCUACACCACAGCUCACAGCAACGCCGGAUCUUUUAACCCACUGAGCAAGGCCAGGGAUCAAACCUACAACCUCAUGGUUCCUAGUCGGAUUCACUAACCACUGAGCCACCACGGGAACUCCUUCCUUGGGCUUCUUGCAUGAGGUUCAAGGAGCUGCCAGAGGGACUGUCAAACGUGCCCGCUGGGGCCCCUCCACCCGCGGUCCCCAAGGGAGCAAAGGAGCCACAAAACUUUGUAGUGAACCCCUCGGGUCUUACCCCCGCCCCCUUAAACUCACAGCCCAUGGCAAGUACCUUCGUGGUCCUCCAGUCACCUGCUCCUGCCUGGGUUCCCCUCCCACCCUCAGCUUCCUCUUCUCUGCAGCCCCUCCGCCCCCUCUCAUCUGUCACACCUUCCUCCCUGGAACUCUGCCUCUUCCUCCUCCUCCCCAGCAGCACAGGGGUCAGAGAAGACAGGUACGGAGUUUACCGCAAGGUUUUCCAAAAAGUACUUGUGGGGCAGGGGACGCACAGAAGUCGGAGGGUGAGGAAGCCGACAUCCGCGUGCAGCCCGGGGACAGAGGCUGCACGAGCGGUUCGCGGUCCAGCCCUGCUCCCUGACUGAGCUGCCAACCUCUCCGGCUGCUGGAACCCACUGCCUCAAGCAGGCAGCACAGACUCCCAGCCAGCGGUACUGAGGGACUCCAAACGCAGGCUCUGCAAGUAAAAUAAACCCAAGGAAGACACUCUGCUGAUGCUCCCUGAUCUGCGCCCCCAAGCUUUGUACCCGCAGGCGCUCUGAAAUGCUAACCUCAAAAAGAUGCCACGUGACGCACACUCUUCUCUUCUGAGUAGCUAAGUUAUGCUCCAGCGAGUUUGGGGUGGGGGUGGGGGCGGAUGGAAAAUAGUGCCGGCGUAACCGCGGGUGUGGGCGGGGUCGGUGCCCAAGACGGCCCUGCCGCGUCUGCAGUAACCAUGGCGACCUGCCCCCCCCCCCCGAAAGGGCAAACCACACGCGGCUCAGAAAGCCUUGCUGUGACUCUGCGGUGACAGCAUCCGUGAAGGGCUCUCUGGGAAACAAGGUCCACGUGCUUGGCCCUGGGAGAAUGGACGGCAGGAAGGGACAGCGGACGCUUGGCUGUGGCCCGCUGGACACAAAGCCUCCUCUCCUGGGAUCACAUCAGCCCAAGAGUCCGAUCCAUCCGUGAUAAGAAGCCACAUUCACGCGAGCUCCUCGCGGUGGGGAGGGGUUGCUGGGGUCUGCGGGCGGGAGAACCCGGGCCCCGCAAAGCCUCUUUCAAAAGUGCUUCUGUUCUAUGUGGUGCAGGCCACCUGCAUCCACUACUUCCCAGCACGUUUUAACUCUGCCUAAUCUCUACCCAGCGAACCGCCCUCUCAACACAGCCGCAGUCUCUGCCAGCCGCUGAAGGACCGGCGUUCAGCGCAUCAGUUGGCAGUACAAUAGCACGUGGCUGAGAGGGUCUAGAACCACAGAGUUCAAAGCCGGGCCCCAGUACUUCCUCCGGCCUUGGAUGAGUUACCUGACCUCUGGCGUCUCCUUUGCCCCUUUCGGUGAAAUGCAAGGAUGCUUCAUCAUCAUUCCUGAGAGGCUCAGCCUCAGGGUAAUAUGCGUGAGAUGCCGGCCUUUGUGGCCUCCCACAGUAAGUCCCACUGCACAAGUGACAGUGGACAGGCCUGGGCCUCUCUAAGGUCCUUCACUCCCGAAAUCCUCAAGCACUUCUUCCUCAGUUAGCAGUUCUCAACCUAAGGAGCUUCUGAAAAAUUCUGCCCGGGCCCCACCUGCAGCGCCUCCAACUUGGUGUGGGUACCAGCCUGGCUUUUUCCCCAAAGUCUCCUCUAGAUGACGCUACUGUGCAGCCGGGGCUGACAAUCACUGCUGUAAAUUAUAGCAGCCACCCAAGGAUGAGGUCGCCGUUUCUCUGGAACCCCCAUCUUCCCUCUUAAGUCAGGGGAAAACCGUCCCGCAGGGGUGAGCCCCUGCUGAGACGAAACCUUUCUAUCAGCAGACAGGACAUAAUACCUUCGCAGAAGAGGAAACUGGCUUGAGUGGAGAAGUGCUAAGUUGGGACCUGCACACAGAUCUCUCAGCUUUCUGGGAGGAUCAAGAGAAGGCAUCGCCAGCUCCUGCCAAUUCACUUCCUUGUGCAUUCAGCUGAUUCACUCACCGGGGAAGCAUCCUGUGUUACCGUCUGCACUUGAAAGAAGCCACCGGUUUUGGAAGCAGCAUUUACCGCCACCAAGCCUUAGCAAUGGGGCACCCAACUGAUGUGCUUCAGAAGCAGAAAUACCCCCAAACGAAUCAAGCUGGGGCGCUCUGUGGCUGUUUUACUGUUCUUUGGAGAGAACACCCACGUUUUAGUUAACACAUCCCCAAGCUGCCUGCUGCAGACCCCAACUAGGACACCACGGAGAAAGAUGCUGCCAGGGUCAGCGGGGGAGGGGGGAUCCAUCCAGCAUUUGCGAUGCCAUUAAAGGGGGGAGGGGCAGGGAAUCAGGAAAGACGUCAAGAAGAAAUACCUUCUUUUUUCGCUCUUGGAUGAGACAAAUGGGACUCUAUAAACCGAGAAAGACAGCACUACUAAAAAUAAGGGCGUGCAAGCAAUAAAUAUCCAGGGUGCAGAUAUUUUUAUAAGACAAAAGUGUAACCCCAGAACCACACACAGGGAUUCCAAGAGUAGGCGGGGACAAGAACUUAAUCCAUCAGCUUUAGCAAACCCCUCUCCCCAGCUCUGAAUUGUUCUGACAGGGAUUUUUAGGCAAAUCUCUCAUCUGCGUGUGAGACGUGCAGACUGAUGGGAGCUAAUGGAUGGGUCUCUAAAGCCUGGAGGAAGUGUGGCUGCACGCUGGGGUCGCAGGAUCACGCUCUGAGCCAAGGCAAGCCCGUCGCAGUGCCCUCCAGCCAGACCUCCCAUCCCCACCCCACCACGAACCCCAGGGGACAGCUCAGGGGGUGUGUGCGCGUCUAUACUCACAUACGUAUAAAUACAGGCAUUUAGUGAACCAACUUACAUUCGCUUGACCCAUUACGGUUUACAAAGCACUCCAUAAAUAUCUUUUAUUCAAAAGUCAGGGCUCUUUCUGCAUCUUGCCGUCUCCCUCAAAUUUAGGGUGCUCCGUUCCCCACCCCCAGUAGGUUUUAUAGAAAUGUGGUCAGCCCCAGACCAUGGCUUAGCAAGCUAUUUAAGAGCAUAACUGAAAGGGCUGGAGAACAAGACACAGACCUGCAAGGCCCCCAGCCCUUAGCGACACUGCACUGAAGCCUCGUUCUCCUCCAGGCCCCUGCAGCCGGCUGGACCUGAGGGAUCAAGCUGACUGAGGAGCAGCCCCCAGCCUGGGGAGCCCCUUGCCUUGUCCUCAUCCCUGGGCCGAUGGAGAAGCACCCCAGGGUCGCCUCUCCCCACCUGCUGGGCCAGGUCUGGGAUGGGGAGGUGACUCACACCUGGGCAGAGCCUGGAGCAAGAGCUGUCACGGUAGCCUUGGUGACCAGCCCCUGAGAAAUGUGGCAGCAGAGGAGGCCAGCAGGCCACCUAGCGCCCAGGGGCCGAAGAUGCCUAGAAGCCACCGGGAGGGUUUGCACCUGAGAUCCGAUGUUUCCCUCUCCCGCAACCUGACCUGACCUCGAGCAAAACACUCACCACGGUCUCAGCCUGGUCUCAGCCCGUCCACCUGUUGGGCUCCUGGGCGGGGUCCCCGGAGGAGUGAUGUGGCCAUCAAACCACUGGAACCACCCUUUCAAGAGGUGGCUCUCUCCCUGGCUGGGGACGGGCCCCAAGGUAAACCUUCCCAAAGCAUUUAUGGGCCAUGACAGGCAGGGUGGGGAGGUGAACCGCAGCAAAGCCUGAGUUCAGUGCGUGUCGGUGCCCUCGUGGGAAAGGCUGCCAACUGUGCAGUCGCCGAUUGCAGACCCUCCCCAAAAACUGCACAAAGGCUUGGUUCCAGACAGCUCCCUUGCCGCCCCCAGGACAGGAGCUAGAGGCAGGAGCGGCGAGUAGAGAGAAAGAGAGAGAAGACAGAGGUGUAAAGGAACUAGAGAGAGGAGAUGAGACAGGAAGAGAGAAAAACAGAAGAUGGGAAUAUACAGAGAAACAGGAGGAUGCAGUGAGGGGCGUGGAAAUACAGAGCCGGGGAGAGGUUAGAGAACUAUAUAGGGAGGGGAGAGGCGACAGCGAAAGACGACGGAUGGAGGGACCGGGAGAGAGGAGGGGAGGAGGCGAUGGACAGAGAAAGGGGGUUGAGACCCGAGGAGGGGCGGCCCGGGCCGGGGGACCAGCCGGCACCCCUUCCCGCGCGUCCGCGAAGCCCAGGCUCUCCGCGGCGCCCCGGGCGCGCUCGCCGUUUCCGGGUCCCCCUGCGCUC
rnacentral:lncRNA from 1 species